UACGUAGGGGGCAAGCGUUGUCCGGAAUCAUUGGGCGUAAAGAGCGUGUAGGCGGCUUUGCAAGUCCGUUGUGAAAACUCGAGGCUCAACCUCGAGACGCCGGUGGAAACUGCAAAGCUAGAGUCCGGAAGAGGAGAGUGGAAUUCCUGGUGUAGCGGUGAAAUGCGCAGAUAUCAGGAAGAACACCCGUGGCGAAGGCGGCUCUCUGGGACGGUACUGACGCUGAGACGCGAAAGCGUGGGGAGCGAACAGG
rnacentral:rRNA from 1 species